rnacentral:rRNA from 1 species
GAACCUACGGGAGGCAGCAGUGGGGGAUAUUGCACAAUGGGGGGAACCCUGAUGCAGCGACGCCGCGUGAGCGAAGAAGUACCUCGGUAUGUAAAGCCCUAUCAGCAGGGAAGAAAAUGACGGUACCUGACUAAGAAGCCCCGGCUAAAUACGUGCCAGCAGCCGCGGUAAUACGUAUGGGGCAAGCGUUAUCCGGAUUUACUGGGUGUAAAGGGAGCGUAGGCGGCCUGGCAAGCCUGAUGUGAAAUACCGGGGCCCAACCCCGGGGCUGCAUUGGGAACUGCCAGGCUGGAGUGCCGGAGAGG